rfam:Asian citrus Psyllid, Diaphorina citri - Florida Strain, whole genome shotgun sequence.
GCCAGCGGCGAUAGCACGUUAAAUGCCCAAUGGAUCACUGAAAUGAAGCAACGUUACGCGUGGUUGGUAUCCGGGUGGGUGACCAUCAGGUCAAUCGCGUACUGCUUGCU